UUUAAGUGCAACAAUGAGUUUUCAUGUCCAAUUUUAAUCGCCCGUCUUAUUUUUUUUAUGAUUAGUAUUUUUGUUGUUAUUAGAUGAUAAAACAUGAAUAAUACUUUAUGUGUGACUUAUGUUUUUAAUUUUUUUAAAUUAUUUUAAAUAAGAUGAACGAUUAAAGUUAGACAUAGAAAAUGAUGCUUGCACUUGAA
rnacentral:pre_miRNA from 1 species